ensembl:lncRNA
GUUUAUUUAUUCGUGUUCCCUUAAUGCUUUUAUGUGCACUAUCACUUUAAUUUGAACAGAACCUUUGUCAAGUUUUGGGGGCUUUUUUGUUUUGGCUUUGUUUUUUGUUUUUGUUUUUAAGGAAAAAGGUCAAAUGCAUAUUUUAAGUAAUCGGGAUGUAAAUCAAUGGCCUACCUGCAUUCCCAAAUGUUAUUUUGAAAACGUUUCUAAUAUGAAACAAACAGCAAAAAAAAAAAAAAAGUGAAAGCCUUUAGACAGAGGAGAGUGGUUUUAUGGCAUAACGAUUUGGAUUUCCACAGGAUUAUCUACCUAGAUGGGUGUGUGGACAGGAAAAUGUAAAUAGAUGAAUGUUUCCCAUAAUGUAAAAAGAGCAAAUUAAUAAAAUAAUUAAUGCACUGCUUGUAAGAGCUGUGGGUUUUCAAUGCAAAUUCACUCUCCCAGAACUGCCAAAAUGCUUCGCUUGAUGUGGUCCAGGAUAAAAACAUGCUCUUAUGCACCCGUUGCUUGAGAAUGAUCCCACAGAGCCUCCCACUUACAGAACUUCUCACUGGUGCAAAUCCCUCUGUGAUACCUUCCUGGAUCCCCAGGAGAACCCUCACAGGCACUUCUACAUGGGGCCAGACCCUACAGCGGUGCCCGGGGUUGGGCUGGUGGCAGCCCUGAGCUAUUGCAUUUCAGCACACACUAUCCCAUGUGCUUCUUUCCAAGAUAACACUGAGCAGGGCCCUGCAGUGGUAGCUGGGCUUCCUUUCAUCAGGGCCCUGCUUGCAGACAGGGUUUCUCUCGGCCUGGGAAAUCACAACACAUGGGGUUGUUUAAUCUGGAGGAGACGUAGGGAUGUAGAGACCUUAUAAAUCUCAACAACAGCCUAAAAGGAGGUUGUGGCAAGGUGGGGAUCAGCCUCUGCUCCCAGGUUACAGCAAUGGAUGAGAGUGAAUGGCCUCAAGUUGUACCAGGGGAGGUUCAGGUUGGAUAUUGGGAGAAAUUUCUUCUCAGAAAGGGCAGUGAGGGAGUGGCACAGGCUGCCCAGGGAGGUGGUGGACUCACUGCCCCUGGAGGUGUUUGAGAGCUGUGUGGAUGUGGCACUGAGGAACAUGGGUUAGUGGGAAAUUUUGGUGUUAGGUGGAUAGUUGGACGAGAUGAUCUUAGAGGUCUUUUCCAACCUUAAUAAUUCUACGAUUCUAUGAUUGUAUUCUAUUUUCUGGAUGAUGUUGCUCGUAUAAUAGAUCUAAUACAUUUCAGUUUAUAAGUCCAACAGUUACACAAACAGCACACCAGAGCUGUAUCAUGUACCAUUUACCUACUAUUAUACCCUCAGCACAGAGAAAUCAGGAAUAUUUAUGUUCUAGAGGCAGGGAAACUUCUUAAAGUUUGACAGCCACCAAGACCUAACGGUGGGAUUUCCCUUCAUCUGCUGGACAUGAUGUCCUCCCUGGUCACUCAUAAACUGACAAACUAGAGAUGGCCAAAAAAUGCUUAAAUAUUGAAAGACCUUUCUGCAGUGGCUGAUAUCUUCCUACAAUGAGAAUACAACAGAGUGUAAAACAGCAAAUAUGUUUCAAACUUUUCCCUCAGCAGAAGAAUGAUAAAGUCUGAGACGUGGCUCACAGCCCUGCCAUUCGUGCUGCUGAAGGUAACAACGUAAUCAGAGAAAUUUGGGCCAGAAAAGCUCUGCUCGGGCAUUGUGUGAUGACCAUCCCUUCCAGAUUGCUAUCUCCCAGGCUGCAGUAGUGCUAAGAAAGAAAGGAGACUUCAUCCCAGCAUUAACUGUCGGUUGUGUAAUUUGGCUGAGACAUAAAGAUCAGUUAUUUCCAUGGAAAAAUGCCUGCUUGCCAAUCUCCAAGUGACUCCAGAAGAGCAAUGCCUGAGCACCUGAAUUUUAAGUCACAAUCCUGUAUGAGAGGGUCCUAAUGCUCUGACUCCCCACACAAUAAAUACUGUGAUUUAAAAAGAUGUAAACAGAAGUGAUCUUUGUCAACAGUGCUGUAUGCCUAUACAUAUAACAAAUAGCACCUUUGAUAGCUAGGUAGCAUGGAUCAAUCUGAGUGGCUUUUUGCACAAUCAACCUAAUGCUUCAGCUGAGAGGGAGAGUUCCCUUUUGUUUACAUAUUUCCUGGCAAUAGCA